UAUUAUUUUUGAUAUAAAUUAUUUUUAACUUAGGUAGUACUAGUUAAGGUCUUGAAACUUAAAGAAUUUGGCGGUAUUUUAGUCUUUUUAGAGGAAUCUGUUCCUUAAUCGAUAAUCCACGUUGAACCUUACCAAAUUUAAUUUAGUAUGUAUACCGCCGUUAUAAUGAGAAUCUUUGUAGAGUUCAAUAAUUUUCUUAAUUUCUUUUAAAGAUUAUUUCAGGUCAAGGUGCAGCUUAUAUUUUGGUGGAAAUGGAUUACAUUUAUUUUGUUAUUGGAAUAUUAAUUGAAAUUUUAAUAUAAAAUUGGAUUUAAUUGUAAUUUUUUGUAGAUUAUAGAAAUGAUUUUAGCUCUAUAAUAUGUACACAUCGCCCGUCACUCUCAUUAUUUGUAGUUGAG
rnacentral:rRNA from 1 species